AUUGAACGCUGGCGGCAGGCCUAACACAUGCAAGUCGAACGAGUGGCGGACGGGUGAGAAAUGUCUGGGAAACUGCCCGAUGGAGGGGGAUAACUACUGGAAACGGUAGCUAAUACCGCAUACCAUCGGAUGUGCCCAUAUGGGAUUAGCUAGUAGGUGGGGUAACGGCUCACCUAGGAGACGAUCCCUAGCUGGUCUGAGAGGAUGACCAGCCACACUGGAUCUGAGACACGGUCCAGACUCCUACGGGAGGCAGCAGUGGGGAAUAUUGCACAAUUGGCGCAAGCCUGAGGAAGCCAUGCCGGGUGUAUGAAGAAGGCCUUCGGGUUGUAAAGUACUUUCAGCGAGGAGGCGUGACUCGCAGAAGAAGCACCGGCGAACUCCGGGCCAGCAGCCGCGGUAAUAC
rnacentral:rRNA from 1 species